UUAUAAUUUAAUUAAAGUAGUAUUAACAUAAAAAACUAAUGUAUAAUGGCGGUUUUAAUAUAUUAGAGAAACUCGCUUAUUAAUCGAUAAUACUCGUUUAAUUUAACUUAUUUUUAUUGCUUAUAUACCGCCGUUUCAGACCUUAUUAAAAAUUUAAUUCAUAACUAUAUAACUAUUAUAAAAAAAUCAGGUCAAGGUGUAGCUUAUGAUUAUGAUUAAGUAAGUUACAAUAAAAAUAAUUUAAGGAUAAAGAAAAAAUUACUUAAUGAAAAAGAAUUUAUAUGUACAAUAAAAUUAAAAUUCUUAUUAGAAAUUAUAUAUUAAAACGC
rnacentral:rRNA from 1 species